rnacentral:tRNA from 1 species
UGUCGCGUGGCCGAGUGGUUAGGUAAAGGCCUGCAAAGCCUUUCACGGUGGUUCGAAUCCACCCGCGGCUAC